UUAAGCGACUAAGCGUACACGGUGGAUGCCCUGGCAGUCAGAGGCGAUGAAGGACGUGCUAAUCUGCGAUAAGCGCCGGUAAGGUGAUAUGAACCGUUAUAACCGGCGAUUUCCGAAUGGGGAAACCCAGUGUGACUCGUCACACUAUCAUUAACUGAAUCCAUAGGUUAAUGAGGCGAACCGGGGGAACUGAAACAUCUAAGUACCCCGAGGAAAAGAAAUCAACCGAGAUUCCCCCAGUAGCGGCGAGCGAACGGGGAGGAGCCCAGAGCCUGAAUCAGCAUGUGUGUUAGUGGAAGCGUCUGGAAAGGCGCGCGAUACAGGGUGACAGCCCCGUACACAAAAGCGCAUGUGCUGUGAGCUCGAUGAGUAGGGCGGGACACGUGGUAUCCUGUCUGAAUAUGGGGGGACCAUCCUCCAAGGCUAAAUACUCCUGACUGACCGAUAGUGAACCAGUACCGUGAGGGAAAGGCGAAAAGAACCCCGGCGAGGGGAGUGAAAAAGAACCUGAAACCGUGUACGUACAAGCAGUGGGAGCCCCACCACUAAGCCAGUGGUGAACUCCACAUACGCAUCCUUUGCUGAGGAUACGGUUAACGGAGCGAAAGCGACGUUCAACCUCAAAAGAAGCAGAGGGGGCUUAGUGGUGGGGUGACUGCGUACCUUUUGUAUAAUGGGUCAGCGACUUAUAUUCUGUAGCAAGGUUAACCGAAUAGGGGAGCCGCAGGGAAACCGAGUCUUAACCGGGCGUUAAGUUGCAGGGUAUAGACCCGAAACCCGGUGAUCUAGCCAUGGGCAGGUUGAAGGUUGGGUAACACUAACUGGAGGACCGAACCGACUAAUGUUGAAAAAUUAGCGGAUGACCUGUGGCUGGGGGUGAAAGGCCAAUCAAACCGGGAGAUAGCUGGUUCUCCCCGAAAGCUAUUUAGGUAGCGCCUCGUGAAUUCAUCUCCGGGGGUAGAGCACUGUUUCGGCUAGGGGGCCAUCCCGGCUUACCAACCCGAUGCAAACUGCGAAUACCGGAGAAUGUUAUCACGGGAGACACACGGCGGGUGCUAACGUCCGUCGUGAAGAGGGAAACAACCCAGACCGCCAGCUAAGGUCCCAAAGUCAUGGUUAAGUGGGAAACGAUGUGGGAAGGCCCAGACAGCCAGGAUGUUGGCUUAGAAGCAGCCAUCAUUUAAAGAAAGCGUAAUAGCUCACUGGUCGAGUCGGCCUGCGCGGAAGAUGUAACGGGGCUAAACCAUGCACCGAAGCUGCGGCAGCGACACUAUGUGUUGUUGGGUAGGGGAGCGUUCUGUAAGCCUGUGAAGGUGGCCUGUGAGGGUUGCUGGAGGUAUCAGAAGUGCGAAUGCUGACAUAAGUAACGAUAAAGCGGGUGAAAAGCCCGCUCGCCGGAAGACCAAGGGUUCCUGUCCAACGUUAAUCGGGGCAGGGUGAGUCGACCCCUAAGGCGAGGCCGAAAGGCGUAGUCGAUGGGAAACGGGUUAAUAUUCCCGUACUUGGUGUUACUGCGAAGGGGGGACGGAGAAGGCUAUGUUGGCCGGGCGACGGUUGUCCCGGUUUAAGCGUGUAGGCUGGUUUUCCAGGCAAAUCCGGAAAAUCAAGGCUGAGGCGUGAUGACGAGGCACUACGGUGCUGAAGCAACAAAUGCCCUGCUUCCAGGAAAAGCCUCUAAGCAUCAGGUAACAUCAAAUCGUACCCCAAACCGACACAGGUGGUCAGGUAGAGAAUACCAAGGCGCUUGAGAGAACUCGGGUGAAGGAACUAGGCAAAAUGGUGCCGUAACUUCGGGAGAAGGCACGCUGACAUGUAGGUGAAGUGAUUUACUCAUGGAGCUGAAGUCAGUCGAAGAUACCAGCUGGCUGCAACUGUUUAUUAAAAACACAGCACUGUGCAAACACGAAAGUGGACGUAUACGGUGUGACGCCUGCCCGGUGCCGGAAGGUUAAUUGAUGGGGUCAGCGCAAGCGAAGCUCCUGAUCGAAGCCCCGGUAAACGGCGGCCGUAACUAUAACGGUCCUAAGGUAGCGAAAUUCCUUGUCGGGUAAGUUCCGACCUGCACGAAUGGCGUAAUGAUGGCCAGGCUGUCUCCACCCGAGACUCAGUGAAAUUGAACUCGCUGUGAAGAUGCAGUGUACCCGCGGCAAGACGGAAAGACCCCGUGAACCUUUACUAUAGCUUGACACUGAACAUUGAGCCUUGAUGUGUAGGAUAGGUGGGAGGCUUUGAAGUGUGGACGCCAGUCUGCAUGGAGCCGACCUUGAAAUACCACCCUUUAAUGUUUGAUGUUCUAACGUGGACCCGUAAUCCGGGUUGCGGACAGUGUCUGGUGGGUAGUUUGACUGGGGCGGUCUCCUCCUAAAGAGUAACGGAGGAGCACGAAGGUUGGCUAAUCCUGGUCGGACAUCAGGAGGUUAGUGCAAUGGCAUAAGCCAGCUUGACUGCGAGCGUGACGGCGCGAGCAGGUGCGAAAGCAGGUCAUAGUGAUCCGGUGGUUCUGAAUGGAAGGGCCAUCGCUCAACGGAUAAAAGGUACUCCGGGGAUAACAGGCUGAUACCGCCCAAGAGUUCAUAUCGACGGCGGUGUUUGGCACCUCGAUGUCGGCUCAUCACAUCCUGGGGCUGAAGUAGGUCCCAAGGGUAUGGCUGUUCGCCAUUUAAAGUGGUACGCGAGCUGGGUUUAGAACGUCGUGAGACAGUUCGGUCCCUAUCUGCCGUGGGCGCUGGAGAACUGAGGGGGGCUGCUCCUAGUACGAGAGGACCGGAGUGGACGCAUCACUGGUGUUCGGGUUGUCAUGCCAAUGGCACUGCCCGGUAGCUAAAUGCGGAAGAGAUAAGUGCUGAAAGCAUCUAAGCACGAAACUUGCCCCGAGAUGAGUUCUCCCUGAGACUUUAGGUCUCCUGAAGGAACGUUGAAGACGACGACGUUGAUAGGCCGGGUGUGUAAGCGCAGCGAUGCGUUGAGCUAACCGGUACUAAUGAACCGUGAGGCUUAACCUU
rnacentral:rRNA from 1 species